rnacentral:rRNA from 1 species
UACAGAGGGGGCAAGCGUUGUUCGGAAUUACUGGGCGUAAAGGGCGCGUAGGCGGCCUUCUAAGUCAGACGUGAAAUCCCUCGGCUCAACCGGGGAACUGCGUCUGAGACUGGAAGGCUUGAAUCCGGGAGAGGGAUGUGGAAUUCCAGGUGUAGCGGUGAAAUGCGCAGAUAUCAGGAGGAACACCGGUGGCGAAGGCGGGACUCUGGGCCGAUACUGACGCUGAGGAGCGAAAGCGUGGGGAGCAAACAGG